GGAACGUGACCCAUUCCUUGAUAGGGUGUUCCAGAAUCAAGAAAAAAAAAGCCCUAUGUUAAAGGACAGCCCUUGGAUUUAUUCCGAUUACACGGGGCUGUCCAAGAAAGGGGUGGAAUGGAAGAGAACCGCGGUGGAACAGAACCUCUCUAUAAUAUGGGCAACGAGCCAGAACGUGACCCAUUCCUUGAUAGGGUGUUCCAGAAUCAAGAAAAAAAAAGCCCUAUGUUAAAGGACAGCCCUUGGAUUUAUUCCGAUUACAUGGGGCUGUCCAAGAAAGGGGUGGAAUGGAAGAGAACCGCGGUGGAACAGAACCUCUCUAUAAUAUGGGCAACGAGCCGGAAUGUGACCCAUUCCUUGAUAGGGUGUUCCAGAAUCAAGAAAAAAAAAGCCCUAUGUUAAAGGACAGCCCUAGGAUUUAUUCCGAUUACACGGGGCUGUCCAAGAAAGGGGUGGAAUGGAAGAGGAGAACAAAUUUGAUAGUUUGAAAGUUAAGGUGGAGGAGGAAAGGAGGAAAAUGAGGAAGGAGCUAGAUCAUGCAAAGAGACAAGUACAAAUCGAGGUUGAGAAAAAGAGGGCUGCAGUUGAAAAGCAGCAGAAUUUGGAGAAAAGAUUGAGGCAGCUGAGGAGAUGUGAGGAACAGGAAACAAGAGGACCAUGAUGGUCCUGAAUCGCUCACCUAUCCCCACAUGACCCAGGUUGAACUGAAACUAUGGUGACACUAUGAAAUGGGCCCUGA
rnacentral:lncRNA from 1 species